CUGUGUAGGGGUCUGAAUUUGACCAAAGAUAACCAAUGGAAUCAACAGGCUGGUGCAGAUAAUUAGCUACCUGUUUAAUAGAUCAUCUUGAUCAUUUUUUUGCAAAGAAUUAACUACCCCAGCUAGAUCCACAUCAGUCAAAUUAUAAUCCAGUAUGAAUAAAGUAUAUUACUACGACAUCAACAUGCAUAUGAUGCAUUGAUGCAUACAGUGAUACAGGCUUACAACAUCAGUUACAUACUCUUAGGCUGUGUUUAGUUUCUAAAAUUGGGGAGAAGUUUGGAGAAAGUUGGUAGUUUGAAAAAAAAGUUAGGAGUUUAUGUGAGUAGAAAAGUUUUGGAUACGAUGAAAAGUUGGUAGUUUGGGGAAGUUUGGUGUGAAGUUAAACAGGCCUAGAUAGGAGAAGAAAGUACAGAAGCAGAAACCAUUAGUUUACAGAGCCCUAAGCUUGCAGCAGCAGCAGCAGCAGAAGUAGCAGAGAAGUGGGAGAGCGAUGUAUCCAUUCCUGCAAAUCCAAGUUGGCAAUUCCGAGGGCCGACAUAUAUCCCACUCCAAGGAGAUCCGACAACGAUGCCCAACCCAAGCAGCUUGCUUGCAUCUCCAUCUCCUCCUCAUCGGAACUCCUCCUCCUCCUCCUCCAUCUCCAUUAUUUCCACCCCGGCAACAAUCCAACCGGACGCAGCCCACGGGCCUUGUUCCCUUCUCACCACCUCCAAGUACGCUUUGCGGGACACUCGCGGCAGCAAGAGUUCGUAUACUCGCCUCUGCUGCUGCUGCACUGCCGCGCCUAAAGCUGAGCAAGAAGAGGAGACUUUGCAGCAAGAGUUGCUACUGUUUGGUUUGGUUCAGGUUGGGGAGCUACUAGAAGAAGGAGGAAUAGCUAGGUUGGGUAGCUCAGCUUUGCUCUCCUUUUAUUUUUUAUUUUUUUUUCUGUUUGUUCCAAGGUUUCUUGCAUCACUUUGCGGCUUAUCUUGUUGGUUUUCCUUCUAUUUUAAGGUUGUGAAUUUCUUGGGGGGACACAAGAAUCGUGGGAUGGAUGGCAAUGCGAGAUCGGCGGCGAAUCAGACGAAGCAAAUCGUCACGGACAACGAGCUGGUGGAGCUGCUAUGGCACAACGGCGGCGUCGUGGCGCAGCCGCAGGCGGCGCAGGCGAGGGUCGUCUCCUCCUCCGGCCGCGGCCAGAGCGCCAGCGUGCUCACCGGCGACGACACGGAGACCGCCGCGUGGUUCCCGGACACCCUCGACGACGCGCUGGAGAAGGACCUCUACACGCAGCUCUGGCGCAGCGUCACCGGCGACGCGUUCCCGGCGGCCGCGGCGGCGGGGCCGAGCUCUCACCACGCUCCGCCGCCGGACUUGCCGCCCCCGGCGGCGAGGCCGCCGAUGAGGAGCGGCAUCGGGUCGAGCUGGACCGGCGACAUCUGUUCGGCCUUCUGCGGCAGCAACCACAUCCCGGAGACGGCGGCGCAGCGCUGCCGGGACGCCGGCGCGGCAUUGCCGCCGGAGCGGCCGCGCCGGUCGAGCACCCACGACGGCGCCGGCACGUCGUCGUCGGGCGGCUCCGGCAGCAACUUCGGCGCUUCCGGCUUGCCCAGCGAGAGCGCCAGUGCCCACAAGAGGAAAGGCAGAGAAGAUUCAGACAGUCGCAGUGAGGAUGCUGAAUGCGAGGCAACCGAAGAGACCAAAUCGUCGUCGCGGCGAUAUGGAUCAAAGAGGAGAACUCGUGCAGCUGAAGUUCAUAACCUGUCAGAGAGGAAGGGAUCGGAUCAACGAGAAGAUGCGCGCAUUGCAAGAACUCAUACCUCAUUGCAACAAGGUAAGAAACAUUAUUAUAUAUGCAUCUUUUUUCUGAUCAGGUGCAAGUCCAUGGACUGAUACAGCUAUGUUGACCGACAAGGCAUCUAUAUUAGAUGAAGCAAUCGAGUAUCUGAAGUCACUCCAAAUGCAAGUUCAGAUCAUGUGGAUGACUACUGGGAUGGCACCAAUGAUGUUCCCUGGUGCUCACCAGUUCAUGCCACCAAUGGCCGUGGGCAUGAAUUCUGCGUGCAUGCCUGCGGCACAAGGCCUAAGUCACAUGUCAAGAUUGCCAUACAUGAACCAUUCUAUGCCAAAUCACAUCCCUCUAAAUUCAUCUCCAGCUAUGAACCCAAUGAAUGUUGCAAACCAGAUGCAGAACAUUCAACUGAGAGAGGCAAGCAAUCCCUUCCUUCACCCAGAUGGCUGGCAAACAGUGCCACCACAGGUAUCAGGACCAUAUGCUUCUGGGCCUCAAGUAGCACAGCAAAACCAGAUACCGAAAGCGUCAGCUAGCACUGUUCUGCCAAAUUCUGGGGCUGAACAACCACCAACCUCUGAUGGAAUUUAGAAUGACCAGAAACAUGAUAAGGAAUUCAAUGUAGGCUUUGCACAAAGGGUCGUCUUUCUGGAGAUAGCUGAAAAUAUUGACAUGAUGAACAGAUUGCAUCCAUAUUGCUGUUAUGUAUCUCAAUCAGUAUCUGUCUGACAUAAAUGCUACAAGUGUCUGUAAAUGCACAUAGCAUUUCCCCCCUUCCCUAAGAUGCUAAUUCCCAGUGUAUGUACUAAUAAUCCUUAUAAUAUGAAGUGCCAGUGGCAAUCUUUGCCCUUCUUUAUCA